AGUGAACGCUGGCGGUAGGCCUAACACAUGCAAGUCGAACGGCAGCACAGUAAGAGCUUGCUCUUACGGGUGGCGAGUGGCGGACGGGUGAGGAAUACAUCGGAAUCUACUUUUUCGUGGGGGAUAACGUAGGGAAACUUACGCUAAUACCGCAUACGACCUACGGGUGAAAGCAGGGGAUCUUCGGACCUUGCGCGAUUGAAUGAGCUGAUGUCGGAUUAGCUAGUUGGCGGGGUAAAGGCACACCAAGGCGACGAUCCGUAGCUGGCCUGAGAGGAUGAUCAGCCACACUGGAACUGAGACACGGUCCAGACUCCUACGGGAGGCAGCAGUGGGGAAUCUUGGACAAUGGGCGAAAGCCUGAUCCAGCCAUACCGCGUGGGUGAAGAAGGCCUUCGGGUUGUAAAGCCCUUUUGUUGGGAAAGAAAAGCAGCAGGUUAAUACCCCGCUGUUCUGACGGUACCCAAAGAAUAAGCACCGGCUAACUUCGUG
rnacentral:rRNA from 1 species